rnacentral:rRNA from 1 species
CCCGCUGAACUUAAGCAUAUCAAUAAGCGGAGGAAAAGAAACUAACAAGGAUUCCCCUAGUAACGGCGAGUGAAGAGGGAAAAGCUCAAAUUUUGAAUCUGGUGUCUUUGACCCCCGAGUUGUAAUCUAGAGAAGUGUUUUCCGCUUUGGACCGUGUACAAGUCCCCUGGAACGGGGCGUCAUAGAGGGUGAGAAUCCCGUAUAUGCCACGGACUACCAAUGCUCUGUGAUACACUCUCAACGAGUCGAGUUGUUUGGGAAUGCAGCUCAAAAUGGGUGGUAAAUUCCAUCUAAAGCUAAAUAUUGGCGAGAGACCGAUAGCGAACAAGUACCGUGAGGGAAAGAUGAAAAGCACUUUGGAAAGAGAGUGAAACAGUACGUGAAAUUGUUGAAAGGGAAGCGUUUGAAGUCAAUCGUAUCUGUCGGAAUUCAGCCUGGCUUCUGCCUGGUGUACUUUCCGUCCGAUGGGUCAGCAUCAAUUUUGACCGAGGGAAAAAGACGUUCGGAAUGUGGCUGUCUUCGGGCAGUGUUAUAGCCUUGCGUUGUAUGUCUCGGUUGGGAUUGAGGAACGCAGCGCGCCUGUUGGCCGGGGGUUCGCGCCCCUCGGUACGCGCUUAGGAUGCUGGCAUAAUGGCUUUAAGCGACCCGUCUUGAAACACGG